rnacentral:rRNA from 1 species
GAUGAACGCUGGCGGCGUGCUUAACACAUGCAAGUCGAACGAUGAAACCCAGCUUGCUGGUUGUAUUCUUGUCAAACGGGUGAGUAACACGUAAGUAACCUGCCCUGAACGCUGGGGUAAGCCUAGUAAACUAGGUCUAAUACCAUAUAGGAUCGUCCAGCGCAUGGUUGGUGUUGGAAAGAUUUAUCUGUUUUGGCUGGACUCGCGGCCUAGCAUCUUGUUGGUGAGGUAAUGGCUCACCAAGGCUACGACCGGUAGCCGGCCUGAGAGGGUGACCGGCCACACUGGGACUGCGAGACGGAGCAGACUCGAACGGUAGGCAAUAGUGGGGAAUAUUGUACAGCGGGCGCAAGCCUAAUGCAAAGACGCUGCGUGAGGGAUGAAGGUCCUGGGGUUGUAAACCUAUUUAAGUAGGGAAGAAGAGAAAUUGACGGUACCUGCAGAAGAAGCACCGGCUAACUACGUG